rnacentral:rRNA from 1 species
CGGAGGGUGCAAGCGUUAUCCGGAUUUACUGGGUUUAAAGGGUGUGUAGGCGGGCUUUUAAGUCAGUGGUGAAAUCUCCGGGCUCAACCCGGAAACUGCCAUUGAUACUAUUAGUCUUGAAUUUUGUUGAGGUAGGCGGAAUAAGUCAUGUAGCGGUGAAAUGCUUAGAUAUGACUUAGAACACCAAUUGCGAAGGCAGCUUGCUAAACAAACAUUGACGCUGAGGCACGAAAGCGUGGGGAUCAAACAGGAUUAGAUACCCUGGUAGUCCACGCCCUAAACGAUGAUUACUCGACAUACGCGAUACACAGUGUGUGUCUGAGCGAAAGCAUUAAGUAAUCCACCUGGGAAGUACGACCGCAAGGUUG